UUGGUUAAGUUAGAAAGGGCGCACGGUGGAUGCCUUGGCACUAGGAGCCGAAGAAGGACGGGACUAACACCGAUAUGCUUUGGGGAGCUGUACGUAAGCGUUGAUCCAGAGAUUUCCGAAUGGGGGAACCCACUAUCUUUAGUCGGAUAGUAUCCUUACGUGAAUACAUAGCGUAAGGAAGGCAGACCCAGGGAACUGAAACAUCUAAGUACCUGGAGGAAGAGAAAGAAAAAUCGAUUUCCUGAGUAGCGGCGAGCGAAACGGAAAGAGCCCAAACCAAGAAGCUUGCUUCUUGGGGUUGUAGGACACUCUAUACGGAGUUACAAAAGAAAGUUAUAAAUGAAGCGGUCUGGAAAGGCCCGCCAAAGACGGUAACAGCCCGGUAGUUGAAAUGGCUUUCCCUCCAGAGUGGAUCCUGAGUACGGCGGAACACGUGAAAUUCCGUCGGAAUCCGGGAGGACCAUCUCCCAAGGCUAAAUACUCCCUAGUGACCGAUAGUGAACCAGUACCGUGAGGGAAAGGUGAAAAGCACCCCGGAAGGGGAGUGAAACAGUUCCUGAAACCGUGUGCCUACAAGUAGUUAGAGCCCGUUAAUGGGUGAUAGCGUGCCUUUUGUAGAAUGAACCGGCGAGUUACGAUUUGUUGCAAGGUUAAGCGGAAAAAGCGGAGCCGUAGCGAAAGCGAGUCUGAAUAGGGCGCAUAAGUAACAGGUCGUAGACCCGAAACCAGGUGAUCUACCCAUGUCCAGGAUGAAGGUAAGGUAAUACUUACUGGAGGUCCGAACCCACGCACGUUGAAAAGUGCGGGGAUGAGGUGUGGGUAGCGGAGAAAUUCCAAUCGAACUUGGAGAUAGCUGGUUCUCUCCGAAAUAGCUUUAGGGCUAGCCUCGAGGUAAAGAGUCAUGGAGGUAGAGCACUGUUUGGACUAGGGGCCCUUCUCGGGUUACCGAAUUCAGAUAAACUCCGAAUGCCAUGUACUUAUACUCGGGAGUCAGACUGCGAGUGAUAAGAUCCGUAGUCGAAAGGGAAACAGCCCAGACCACCAGUUAAGGUCCCCAAAUAUAUGUUAAGUGGAAAAGGAUGUGGGGUUGCUUAGACAACCAGGAUGUUGGCUUAGAAGCAGCCACCAUUGAAAGAGUGCGUAAUAGCUCACUGGUCGAGUGACCCCGCGCCGAAAAUGUACCGGGGCUAAACAUAUUACCGAAACUGUGGAUGAACCUCUUCGGAGGUUCGUGGUAGGAGAGCGUUCUAAGGGCGGUGAA
rnacentral:rRNA from 1 species